UACGAAGGGGGCUAGCGUUGUUCGGAAUUACUGGGCGUAAAGCGCACGUAGGCGGAAUGUUAAGUCAGGGGUGAAAUCCCGGGGCUCAACCCCGGAACUGCCUUUGAUACUGGCAUUCUCGAGUCCGGAAGAGGUGAGUGGAAUUCCGAGUGUAGAGGUGAAAUUCGUAGAUAUUCGGAGGAACACCAGUGGCGAAGGCGGCCCACUGGUCCGGUACUGACGCUGAGGUGCGAAAGCGUGGGGAGCAAACAGG
rnacentral:rRNA from 1 species